GGGCCCGCACAAGCGGUGGAGCAUGUGGUUUAAUUCGAUGAUACGCGAGGAACCUUACCAGGGCUUAAAUGGAAAAUGACAGGGGCAGAGACGCCCCCUUCUUCGGACAUUUUUCAAGGUGCUGCAUGGUUGUCGUCAGCUCGUGCCGUGAGGUGUCAGGUUAAGUCCUAUAACGAGCGCAACCCCUACCGUUAGUUGCCAGCGAGUAAUGUCGGGGACUCUAACGGAACUGCCGAUGCAAACCGUGAGGAAGGUGGGGACGACGUCAAAUCAUCACGGCCCUUACGUCCUGGGCCACACACGUGCUACAAUGGUAGGUACAGAGGGAAGCAAGAUCGCAAGAUGGAGCCAAUCCCUAAAAGGUCGCCUCAGUUCGGAUUGGAGUCUGCAACUCGACUCCAUG
rnacentral:rRNA from 1 species